GACUGCUUGGGGUCGUAGUCAGCGGAUUUUCCAGGGCUCAGGAGGAAGAUCAAAAUGGCAUAAAGCAGGCCAUCGGCAGCUGAGCGUUCAGAGGAGCCCGCCAAGGCUGAAAAGACAAGGCAUGAGCCUUCACAGCACACACAUGCUACAAGUUCGGGUUGAGGAAAUUUGAAACUCACUGUCCGGCAUGAUGGAUUCCUGGGCUUCCAAAAUGAUGGGGCUGGAAGGGACCUCGAAAAAAUAACUGCCGUCACAUGCCCCGUAUUAGAACUGGUUGCUUUCUUGAACACUUAACGCUAACUCUGCUUGGAGGUGACAUCCGUUCUCCACUGGAGAAUGAAAGCCUGAGACUACAUUUCCCUGCAAGCCCUUUAGAAAAGAAGGCCAGGAGAAUAUAGACUUUCCGUUUCCGUUGGGUUGCAAUUUGGCGUGUUCGCGGUGAUAUAUAUUUCAACAGCUAGCGUCCUUUCUCUGUACAGCUGAAGAAGACACUACAUACCCCA